ensembl:antisense 1700041G16Rik RIKEN cDNA 1700041G16 gene
ACUCGGGUUGCGCUGCGGGGACCAUCGGCUCCCACGCAGGCCUGCCCUGGGAUGGCGCCGGACACCUGCUUCCUGUCCACAUCGACUCCGCUAAGGACUGGGCGAGCAGGCUCAGGGAAGCCAAACAGAAUCAGUUUGCCGGAAGAAAAACAGAAAGGGAGCUCCUUACAGAGACUAGAAGUGGCCAGCGCUGGCCUCUCCCUUGUGAAAGUUGGUCCCUGGGGCGAGCUGAAGGGGUAGAGAUUUCCCUGAGUACUCAAUAAUCAGUAUGUAUGGUAUGGGGUAGCGAGUGUGAGCGCUGGCGUGUGUAUUUGCAUUUCAGGAAGUGGUUGCUUAGGCAGCUGUGAGACUAGCGGUUGGGAAAUGGAAACUCUCAGAGCAGCCUGUAGUUUUCAGUUUUGCCGUGUGUACUAAGCGCUAUGUGUAAAGCAAAAGCAAAAGUUUAAACAAGUUUAAAC